CAUCCUUGGGAAGGAGAUUAACCACCAAGUACAUGCAAAAUAUAAACACGAAAUAGUUGUCUAACUAUUUCCCAAAAACUUAAACUAUAAAGCUAAGGCACGGCCAUCCGUCUAAUAGAAUUAGCACAUGUAGGUCGUUGCACAGCUGCCUGACAUCCGGAUUACUUGGUAUAGCGACGCACUGACUGUGAGUUCAUGUCCCCCUUUUUCUCUUAACUGUUUUCAGUUUUAUAAACUGCGGGGGUGAAAUACAUGUUACAAUGAUUAUGAAUAUUUUUAUAAACUGCGGGGGUGAAAUACAUGUUACAAUGAUUAUGAAUAUGUUUAUACAUGGUAUGAUUAGCGUAAGGAGGUUUGUUACUUAGAUCAUGUGAGUGGGUAGGCGGAAACUUGAGGCCAUUAAUCCUCAUAGUAGGACCGAGGGACAGGAGCGGUAGAUCUAUCUGGGUGUAGCGAGCCCAGCCCCAGGUCCAGCUGAACGGACCUCGGGGUGACUUAGUGCCCGACGCAUAAAUCCGCUAGGUUUGAGUCUUCCUACUUGCACUUCACACAUAUC
rnacentral:lncRNA from 1 species